rnacentral:lncRNA from 1 species
CUGCCAUCUGAUCUAACUGAACCCUACCUCCUCCUCUCCCGAUGCUGUAGGGCCUGGAUGUGUAGGUGAGCCCCAAGAGUCAGAUGCACUUGUACCCCAUUCUCUACUCCCCACUUACCAAGAGCAGGAAGUGACUAACAUUGUUCCCCCCCCCCCACAACCCCCUACGCAACAGAAGACAGAAGGAGGCAGUUAAGAGAAGUUGUGAAUACUCACUCCGCAAUGCCGUGGAAUAGAAGCCCCCUGAGCUCAUCCUACAUGACUCUCCUCCUCAGCCUGCUACUGUCUUCCCUCCAUGCCUUCCAGGCUACUCCUAUACCUUCCUUGUUCCAGCCCCAACCCUCAGUGGACAACAGACAGGGAAACCCACAGAUCCUCUGCCAGGUGCUGGGGAGCCCUGCGAGUGCCCACGUCCUAUCCUGGUACCAGCAACUCCCUGGGAAAGGCCCGACCUUUCUGCUGAGUCAAAGGGAAGGAGCUGCCCCAACCUACGGUCCUGGUGUGACCCCGCGCUUCCUGGCUGAGCUAGACCUUGAAAAGAACAGAGUCUGCCUCACUGUGGGCAAUGCCGGCCCUGAAGAUGUGGGCAUUUACUAUUGUGCUCUGUGGUAUGCCAGCCAGUACAUCUUUGGAGAAGGCACUUGGUUCCUCCAUCAGGCUGAGAGGUCAUCUCUGGUUCCUCAUCCUCCUCAGCUGACCCUGCUAACUUCAGGCCCUGCAUCUCUCAUACUGUGUGUGGCCCUGGGGCACCAGCCUGCCCCACUGAGGCUUUCCUGGGCCCUGGAGAGCCAGCUCCAGAAUGGGGGAGUGGAGGAGAGCCUGAUGGAGGACAUGGGUGACACUGUGGUCAGCACACUGCAUCUGUCCAACAGGACCCUAGCAGGCACUGUCAUCUGCAAGCCCGACCACGAGAGCGGGACCUCAGUGGCCACACUGAGGCUGCCUCCUUCCAAGAAGCAGGCUAAGUGUUUCUGGGACGCAGAGGCCUGGAAUGGGGGUCAGGAAAAUGACCAGAAUAUACUAGGUAUGGUCUCCCCAAACAGUCACCUCUGAUCUCCCAGUCUGUGAAGCCAGGACUUUCUCACUUUGAACUUUCUGUCAUCCCAUGACCAUUCACACCUCAAAGUCUUUCCUAAGUUAUGAGUGAAGAGUACAGGGUUCUGGUCUCAGUUUUGCCCUUAAAUACUUGUAUGACCUUGGGCAGAUCACUCACCUCUCUAGGCCUCAGUUUUCCCACCUAUACAAAGGGGAUGUCACUUCUCUGCUCUUCUCACAAGGUUAUUGUGACAGGGAAAUGAGAUAAUACCUGAUAGUAAUAGUAAUAAUAGCAGCUAACAUCUAUGUAACACUAUGUGCAGGCACUGUGCUAAACAUUUUUCAAAUAUCUCACUUGAUCCUUGCAAUAACCUUGUGAGCUAGGGACUAUUAUUAAGAUAAGAAAGUCCUUGGAAAAGUGACAAGUGCCCCACACCUGCAUGAGGUAUGUUACUCCAUCAGACCCUUCCUUUUCACCUCUCUCCUCGCAGGGUGGUAUGAGUCAUCUGAUCUCUAAGAGGAGGUGGGGGUGGGGGAGCCCUGUAGGCUCUGUCUUUGACUCUGUGACUCUCUCCGCAACAGCCCAGCUGGAGUGGACCCUCACUUUUGCUCUGUAUUGCUACCUGGGGAUGCUAGGAGGAGCUAAGCUCUAUGCACUGCUUCUGGCUGUUCUACUGGCAACCCGAAAAUGCCCUGCUCUCUCUGCCGGUUCCCACACUCACCGGAGGUCCAAGGGAGGGCCAAGGUUCCAGACUGCUUCGACCUGAAGGCCCACCUUUUGUCAGCUUUCACAAACUUCUCCAACCUCAUCCUUUUUCCCAGACUUACCUUCGCCUACCGUCCCUGCAUCCAACCCCUCUACUCUCUCUUUCAGGCUCAAAAAAACCUUUAUAAAUAAAU